CGGGGGUGCUGAGAGUCACUGUGGAAUGUCAAGAAGAGGAACUCAGACACUGACUGUGCAUCCAUUGAGACAGAAAAGACAGAGAAGACUCCCAUAAUCAUCAUUUUAAAAAGCAGGAUAGCAAGGCAUCUGAAGGCAGUCUGGCUGUGACAUCUGCGUUUCUGUUAAUGUGACAGACUUGGCAAGCAUGCCUGGGCUCCUCACCACUCCUCUUCAAGCUGGGCGCUCAAAGA